UUCUUGGAGAGUUUGAUCCUGGCUCAGGACGAACGCUGGCGGCGUGCCUAAUACAUGCAAGUCGAGCGAAUCAAUAGGAGCUUGCUCCUGUUGGUUAGCGGCGGACGGGUGAGUAACACGUGGGCAACCUGCCUGUAAGACUGGGAUAACA
rnacentral:rRNA from 1 species